rnacentral:rRNA from 1 species
CGCCUAACACAUGCAAGUCGAACGAGCGAGAGAAAGCUUGCUUUCUCGAGCGAGUGGCGAACGGGUGAGUAACGCGUGAGGAACCUGCCUCAAAGAGGGGGACAACAGUUGGAAACGACUGCUAAUACCGCAUAAGCCCACGGUGCCGCAUGGCACAGAGGGAAAAGGAGCAAUCCGCUUUGAGAUGGCCUCGCGUCCGAUUAGCUGGUUGGUGAGGUAACGGCCCACCAAGGCAACGAUCGGUAGCCGGACUGAGAGGUUGAACGGCCACAUUGGGACUGAGACACGGCCCAAACUCCUACGGGAGGCAGCAGUGGGGAAUAUUGCACAAUGGGGGAAACCCUGAUGCAGCGACGCCGCGUGGAGGAAGAAGGUCUUCGGAUUGUAAACUCCUGUUGUUGGGGAAGAUAAUGACGGUACCCAACAAGGAAGUGACGGCUAACUACGUGCCAGCAGCCGCGGUAAAACGUAGGUCACAAGCGUUGUCCGGAAUUACUGGGUGUAAAGGGAGCGCAGGCGGGAUAGCAAGUCAGCUGUGAAAACUAUGGGCUCAACCCAUAAACUGCAGUUGAAACUGUUAUUCUUGAGUGGAGUAGAGGCAAGCGGAAUUCCGAGUGUAGCGGUGAAAUGCGUAGAUAUUCGGAGGAACACCAGUGGCGAAGGCGGCUUGCUGGGCUCUAACUGACGCUGAGGCUCGAAAGUGUGGGGAGCAAACAGGAUUAGAUACCCUGGUAGUCCACACUGUAAACGAUGAUUGCUAGGUGUGGGGGGUCUGACCCCCUCCGUGCCGGAGUUAACGCAAAAAGCAAUCCACCUGGGGAGUACGGCCGCAAG